AUUGAACGCUGGCGGCAUGCCUUACACAUGCAAGUCGAACGGCAGCACGGGAGCAAUCCUGGUGGCGAGUGGCGAACGGGUGAGUAAUAUAUCGGAACGUGCCCAGUCGUGGGGGAUAACGUAGCGAAAGCUACGCUAAUACCGCAUACGAUCUAUGGAUGAAAGCGGGGGAUCGCAAGACCUUGCGCGAUUGGAGCGGCCGAUAUCAGAUUAGGUAGUUGGUGAGGUAAAGGCUCACCAAGCCGACGAUCUGUAGCUGGUCUGAGAGGACGACCAGCCACACUGGGACUGAGACACGGCCCCGACUCCUACGGGAGGCAGCAGUGGGGAAUUUUGGACAAUGGGCGCAAACCUGAUCCAGCAAUGCCGCGUGCAGGAUGAAGGCCUUCGGGUUGUAAACUGCUUUUGUACGGAGCGAAAAGGCUUCCACUAAUACUGGGGGCUCAUGACGGUACCGUAAGAAUAAGCACCGGCUAACUACGUGCCAGCCGCUGCAGUAAUAC
rnacentral:rRNA from 1 species